AUGACACCUCCCCCCAUAAAGUUGAACUUUACAAAAGUUCAUUCAAGGGUCAUAACAACGUGACAAGGCAUCAGCUACAAUAUUUUCAGAGCCCUUUUUGUGAAGGAUAACCAAAUUAAAACCUUGAAUAAUUAGCGACCAGCGCAUAAGGCGUUGGUUUGUGUUUGACAUGCGUUGAAGAAAAACCAGGGGAUUGUGAUCUGUGUAAACUGUGAUGGGAACCAAACUACUACCUAAAUAAACCUCGAAAUGUUGCAAGGCGAGAAGAAGAGCUAAAGCCUCUUUCUCGAUGGUACUAUAAGCAAGUUGGUGUUUGAUGAAUUUUCGGGAGAAAUAACAAAUAGGAUGAUCAAUUUGGUGAUUGUCCUCUUGUAAUAGGACAGCGCCGGCACCCGUUUUGCUAGCGUCCACUUCCAUUUUAAACGGCUUAUCAAAAUCAGGUGUGGCAAGAACAGGAGAACUACUCAAUAAAGCCUUCAAGGAAUCAAAAGCAGAUUUGCAAGCAGAGGACCAGACAAACGGGACAUUCUUACCUAAAAGGUGCUGGGAAGGAGCUAAUAGCUUGGAUCUUUGCAUCAAGAGGUCGUACAGUACCAUUACCAACAGUUUUUCCAAGGAGCAUAUUCCAAUAUUGAGGCGACAGCUAACACCUUAGGCGAAGAAGGUGAGGGCAAAGACCCAGAAAGAUCGCCCGUAUCAAUGGAACUGCGAUCAAGGUAGGGUUUCAACAAAUUCACAUGACAUAUGCGAGUCUUACUACGGCGAUCUGGAGUUGCUAAUAUAUAGUUACUGUCAGUUUGCUUUUCAAUUAUUUUAUAGGGACCGGAGAAUCUGGUUUGCAAAGCGGAACCAGCAACAGGUAAAAGUGCCAGGACCCGAUCCCCAAUGUUAAAUGUGCGACUGACUGCCUUGAUAUCGAAGUGACCAGAGAGAUGGUGAUCAUGAGCCAAAGACAAAACUAAGGACCUGUAUGGAAGAGGAACCACAAUCUGUUUAACAGUCUCACAUUCACUGCUUGAACUUACAGGAGACCAGGACCUCAUCA